UCAAUAAAAAUGUAUCAUACAAUGUAUACGACCACCAUUUGACUUUAAACUUCAGUAUCAGUAGGUCUGGCAAUAACGUUAAAACAUGGCAAAAGUAAUGCUUAUUUUGAUAAUUGUAUUAGUCUGUGUUCAACAAGUUACAAGCGGAAUAGCUGCUGAGAAGAGAAAUGCAGAUAAAGACUGUUCCCAGAGAAUCAUAGACGAUUGUUCAUAUAAGGGAUGUAGUUAUAUACCCAAUGGAAUAGAUUGUGUUUGUUACUGUACGGGUGAUCAGGAUGAAAAAAGAAGAAAGUGAAGAUUUUGUCACCUAAGCCAUUGGAUGCCAAGUGCACGUAAUGGAUGCAUAUACUUAAUUAAAUAGUUUUCAUUUCA